rnacentral:rRNA from 1 species
AGUGAACGCUGGCGGUAGGCCUAACACAUGCAAGUCGAACGGAAGCACAGUAAGAGCUUGCUCUUACGGGUGGCGAGUGGCGGACGGGUGAGGCAUACAUCGGAAUCUACUUUUUCGUGGGGGAUAACGUAGGGAAACUUACGCUAAUACCGCAUACGACCUACGGGUGAAAGCAGGAGAUCUUCGCACCUUGCGCGAUUGAAUGAGCCGAUGUCGGAUUAGCUAGUUGGCGGGGUAAAGGCCCACCAAGGCGACGAUCCGUAGCUGGUCUGAGAGGAUGAUCAGCCACACUGGAACUGAGACACGGUCCAGACUCCUACGGGAGGCAGCAGUGGGGAAUAUUGGACAAUGGGCGCAAGCCUGAUCCAGCCAUACCGCGUGGGUGAAGAAGGCCUUCGGGUUGUAAAGCCCUGUUGUUGGGAAAGAAAAGCAGCAGGUUAAUACCCCGCUGUUCUGACGGUACCCAAAGAAUAAGCACCGGCUAACUUCGUG